GCAAAUUCUUCGCGCUAUCUGACGAACAGCGAUAGCUGUCGGGUGCACCUGGGGCAAAGUUUUAUUUCGUUAUUGUUUGAGAGUGGUGAGGUGUGCUUUGUGGUCGGUGAAGUUGGUGGUGAGGGUUCGUGUGUGUACUUGCCCUAGCACGCACCGUGUAAAGACGUAGGUCGAUGGUGGAGCUGUGCCGAGUUGUGGACAUUUGAAUGUUGGACGUGGGGUAGAAGUCUAAGUCCUUUAUAGUGGUCACGAAAGUAGUUUUGUGGGCGUCUAGGUUAAAGUCUCCCAUGAGUAAGAUUGGUUUCCAGUCCGACUCGAAGGUAGAGUGGAUCAACUGAGCAAAAUCAAUUUGAUUAGCGUGUGGUGAAACGUAGAUGCAUGCCAGGAGGAGUUCUCCUUGGGGGAUGUAUGCCGCGCUUAUAUCGGCGAUGUCGGACGUUGGUUGGUUGACGAGGGCAUACGGCUGUGCGGUGACGUUGGUAGCGCUGUUGCUAACGUAGAUUGCUGCUCCCGCAGCCCUCUUUGAUGGGUGUCUUGAUACAAUGUUCACGCAGGUGCACUCAAACGAAAAACGUGUUUUCUGGGUGUAAAGGGCACCACUUACACCCCACAGUUGAUCUGUAUUCCCGGUGGUGUCACAAAAUACCGCUGUAGAACCUUUUUUUUUUUUUUUCGAUGGGUUUGGGGUGUAUAUCCUGCCAACUACAACCGUGAGCGCGCAGUACGUGGGGAUGCGCAACACGCAAUCAUCCAGUUUGUUGAACAUGAAGGGAGUUGAUGUUCUGAGGCUGGAACACAUAGAAGGGACAAACACAUACAAAACCUCAGUUUGUGACGCGCGUGACAUUUGAGUGCAGUUGGCUAGCGUCCUCAGAUAGUUUGAAAGUUUAUUUUCACAUUGCGUGAUCAAUCGCGUAGUAAGCUUAUCGUGAGUGUUGCAGGUCAUGCGUGUUUCAGUCAAGGAAAGUUUGUGUGGCAGCAUCAGGGGUUGACAGCGUUCGUGUUGAUACUGGCCGCGGCAAAGCACAGAUAAGAUACUGACCAUAUCGCCAUAAUGGAGGCCGUCCGCCUUGUGACACCAGGACGGCCAGACAGAAAAUAAUCGUCCGUGGAGAAUGCAAACGUUACGAUGUUUUCGAGGCUGUAAGGCAGUCGCCUUUUUGGCGAUCUCGUAACCGACAGCCUCAUUGUGCAGGUGUUGAAACUCGUAUGUGGAAAAAGAAAAGCUGACCUGGAGCUUCUUCUUUUAGUUAACCUAGCGUGGGCUCGCUCACUUGUUCUGAUUAAAGCGAA